ensembl:lncRNA
AUGUUACUCCAAAAAGAUUGUUUAAAUUUGAAAUUUCUGAAAAUCAAACAAUGGAAUUUAUUUGAUAAUCUGUGCCUGCAGGAAAUGAAAGGAAAUGACUUAAAAACAAUUUUAAAUAUAGGAAGAAAUCACCAAGGGAAGAAGAUGAUGGAAUCUUAUUUACUUACUAAAGCAGAAGAGAAAAACAAAACAAAACAAAACAAAAGAAAACCUCAAUAUCUAAGGGACAGCAGAAGCAGGAAGCGCUUCUGGAGCAGAGCUGUCAUCCUUUCCUGGAAGCUGCUGCUCAGUAGCCUGUCUCCACCGAAACUGCUAAUGGUGACAACACAGGCAGAUUCUGGAAGGGGAACUCAAGGAUUCACAGGUCAGACAUGUCUGUUAACAGCAUGGUAUGUAACUGGACGAGCAGUGGUCGUAGAACAAAUUAUGUCCUCUGUCCAUACAAAAUCUGUAAGUAUAAAAUGCUCACUCUUGUAGUUCUCUGGAUGGUUUUUUCUUGCUAAAAUUUCAUUGUUUGAUUUUAUCAGUAUGCCUGUCUCCCACGCUUGCUUAUUUAUUUGCUUACUAACUACAUACAUUCAUUUACUCACAUAUUAAAAAAAUAUUAAUAUGAAAUGAACUCCUUUAUGUUUGGGACAUUGUGCUAAAUACUUAUAAAGUCCUGGAUAAAAAUGUUUUCGUAUGAAAAGUGGAACUGUGAUAUGGUUAGUCUCAAUACCUAGUUUGAGAAUGACUAGUCCUUUCUGGAUUACAGCUGUAUAUAGGAAAGGGGAAAUGGAUGAUUGUGAAGACAGAUGUACAAAUCUCAUUAGGUUUCGAAGCAGAGACACAAACUGGAUUAAUUCAGUGAGGUGCUACAUAUGUGAUAGUCAUAAUGAUGACAGAGAAAAUGUUACAUGUUGUUGCCUAUAUUCCUCUUAAUAAGACAGAUAUUUUAAUACAUUUCGGAAUUAUUUCAGCACAGUAGUCCUUUAUGUGGAGUUAAUAACAAAUUGCAUUAUUAAUAACAAUUGUUCACAUUGAUAUAUUUAAGUAGUUUGUGAAAUUUUUAAGGUUCUUUUGUAAAUAAAAUUACUUUGUAGGGAUGACUUUAUUUUUAA